rnacentral:rRNA from 1 species
CAGUAGCCGCGGUAAUACGAAGGGUGCAAGCGUUAAUCGGAAUUACUGGGCGUAAAGCGUGCGUAGGCGGUUUGUUAAGUCUGCUGUGAAAUCCCCGGGCUCGACCUGGGAAUGGCAGUGGAUACUGGCAAGCUAGAGUGUGUCAGAGGAUGGUGGAAUUCCCGGUGUAGCGGUGAAAUGCGUAGAGAUCGGGAGGAACAUCAGUGGCGAAGGCGGCCAUCUGGGACAACACUGACGCUGAGGCACGAAAGCGUGGGGAGCAAACAGGAUUAGAUACCCCCGUAGUCCCUGUCUCUUAUAC